rnacentral:rRNA from 1 species
GAACCUGCGGAAGGAUCAUUGUCGAAAUCGAACGGAAGAACGACCCGCGAAUCGUCAUUGCGUACUAGACAGAGCCCGUGAGCACCUAACGCUCAUGGGACUCGCGUCGCGUCGGCGUGGGUGUACUCGAGACCAGCGUCGUACCGGCGGACAAACAACGUCAGCACGGAUCGUGCCAAGGAGCUGCAUGGAGAGAAUCGUCGUCCCACGCCUUUGAUAGUCCUCGAUGCGGGACGGGGGGCGGGGGAUGUACGCAAUCUCUACUCAAGUCUAAACGACUCUCGGCAACGGAUAUCUCGGCUCUUGCAUCGAUGAAGAACGUAGCGAAAUGCGAUACUUGGUGUGAAUUGCAGAAUCCCGCGAACCAUCAAUUCUUUGAACGCAAGUUGCGCCCGAAGCCAUUCGGCCGAGGGCACGCCUGCCUGGGUGUCGUGAAUCCCCUUGCCCCUAGGCACCCGCAUGAGCAUUGGCGGGGAUAUAUGCUCGGGCGCAGAAUAUGGUCUCCCGUGGGAUCGGCAUGCACGGCAUGUCGAGGUGCGGUUGGCCGAAAAUCGAGCAAUGGCUGUGACGGGCACCACGGCGUUCGGUGGAUCGAAUGAGAUUGGCUGCGCCGUGGGCUCGGCAUUAGGCGGGCUCCGGACUUUGAGUAUCCCCGAGUGCGACCC